UAUUCCAGGAUAUGCAAA
rnacentral:siRNA from 1 species